GACGAACGCUGGCGGCGUGCUUAACACAUGCAAGUCGAACGGAAAGGCCCCUUUGGGGGUGCUCGAGUGGCGAACGGGUGAGUAACACGUGAGUAACCUGUCCUAGUCUUUGGGAUAACCUUCGGAAACGGGGGCUAAUACCGGAUAUUCCCGCAUUGUCGCAUGGUGGUGUGGGGAAAGUUUUUGCGGAUUGGGGUGGGCUCGCGGCCUAUCAGCUUGUUGGUGGGGUGAUGGCCUACCAAGGCUUUGACGGGUAGCCGGCCUGAGAGGGCGACCGGCCACACUGGGACUGAGACACGGCCCAGACUCCUACGGGUGGCAG
rnacentral:rRNA from 1 species